UGAGGGGGAAAAACCUUAGGUCGAAGAUCCUUGGAGCUCAUUCUGCACCAUUCAAGCCCCAGAAGUAUUCAAGGAGUGUCUUAUUCUCUGAGGUCUCAACACUUGAGGUGCAGUGCUAGAGGAGCUGCAGUGUCCACUGAAUUUUAAAGGAGCUGAAGAGCUUGGUGUUUCAGCAUUCUCAUUUGAAUGGUGAUCCAAAAUGACGCUAACAGUAAAAUAAUGCAAAGAAUAUUUGAACGGUUUAGGAUAAUCUUUUUUCUUUUCUUUUCUU